UGAUUGCUACUAUUAUUUAAUUAUGAUGAUUUAUAUAAAUAAUAGUAAUAGUUAAUAUUUAAAUAUUUAUUUUAAUUCUUAUUGUUACAGUGAUAUAUUAAAAUAAAUAUUUAAUUUUGAUGUAUUAAAAUAAAUAUUUAGUUUAUAUUUAAUAAAAUAAUAUUAUUAGAUUUUAAAUAAAAAUAGAAAACUGGUUGUUAUAAGGGAAUUGGAAGUGAGAAAAGGGGAAGUUACAUAAUACGUGAAAACUUGGGAAAAAG
rnacentral:lncRNA from 1 species